AUCUACCUCUCCUGGCCAGCUGCUACGGGGAUAGAGAGAGCAGGGCAAGACGGGAGGAGAUAUGUGUGAUUUGGGGGAGGGGUGGGAUACGGAGCGUUUGCAAAUCAGAAACUUAUUGUAUGAUCAUUACUCUUCCCGUGCAAGGUAUUCCCGGCGCUUCAUACGGCGAAAUCUUUCGCAGAUUGCAAUGAUCACGAAGUUUCCAAACUGAGAGAGAAGAACCGGUCCUUAUAUCAGCCGAUCAAAUGGAACCACCAUGAGAGUGGUCUGUCCCUCAGAAAGUCGGGGGUCGCUGGAGGAAGCUUUGUCUUCCAGGACACCCAAGGGCUGCCACCGUACGAGAGCAACGCACGUGAAGUCGAGGCGCCCUGGGAGGAGUGAGAUGGAAGACCGGGACGUGUUGGAGUUAGCGAAGUUACUUACAACUGAGCGCGAACCCGUCCCGGUGCGUCACGUGACGAGUGAAACCCGAUGCCCCGCUGUCGAGCGCCGUGCUCCAUCGCCCCGCUGAAGGACCAAAAAUGACUUCCUUUCGGGACGGAAGGUCAACUGUUCCAUGAUUCGCGGUUGCAAGAAAAUUAUGUAUUGCAUUGAACUGCUGCUGCUAAGUUAACAAAUUUCAUGUCACAUGCCAGUGAUAAUAAACCUGAUUCUGAUAUCCAGCCAUGAAUAGUGAUGGACAACUAAACAACUCACUGGAGGAGGAGGCUCCACAAAUAUUCCCAUCCUCAAUGACAGAGGAGCCCAGCACACCUAUGCAAAAGAUAAAGCUGAAGCAUUUGCAACAAUCUUCAGUUAUAAGUGCCAAGUAGAUGAUCCAGCUCGACCUCCUUCAGAAGUCCCCAACAUCCCAGAUCUCAGUAUGCAGCCAAUCCGAUUCACUCCACAUACCAAGAAAUGGCUGAAAGCACUGGAUACUGUGAAGGCUAUGGGCCCAGACAAAAUCCUGAAGACUUGUGCUCCAGAAUUUGCCGCCCCACUAGCCAAGCUGCUCCUGUACAGCUUGAAUACCAGCAUCUACUCAGCAAUAUGCAAAAUUGCCCAGGUAUGUCUUAUAUGUCAGUACAAGUCCAACCCAGCCAAUUAGUGCCCUAUCAGGCUACUCUCAAAUCAGCAAAGUAACGGAAGGGGUCAUCAACAGUGCUAUCGUGCAGCACCUACUCAGCAAUAACCUGCUUACGAAUGCCCAGUUUGGGUUCCGUCAAGGCCACUCGGCUCCUGACAUCAUCACCUCCUUGGUCCAAACAUGGAAUUUACCAUACCAGAGGUGAGGUAAGAGUGAUAGUCCUCAACAUUAAGGCAGCAUUCGACUGCGUAUGGCAUCAAGGCACACUAGCUAAAUUGGAGUCAAUGGGAAUUAGCGGGAAAAGCCUCUGUGGGUUGGGAUCAUACUUGACACAAAGGUUGUGGAGGUUGGAGGUCAAUCACCUCAUCCUCAGUUCAUCACUGCAGUUCCUCAGGGAAGUAUCCUAGGACCAACCAGCUUUGGCUGCUUCAUCAAUGACCUUCCUUCCAUCAUAAGGUCAGAAAUGUGGAUGUUCGCAGAUGAGUGCACAAUGUUCUGCACCAUUUGUGACUCCUCAGAUAGUGAAACAGUUCAUUCCCAAAUGCAGCAGAACCUGGACAAUAUCCCAGCUUGGGCUAACAAGUGGCAAGUAACAUUUGAGCUACAUAAGUGCCAGGCAUUGACCAUUUCCAACAAGAGAGGCUCUAACCAUCGUUCCUUGACAUGCAGUGGCAUCACCAUCACUGAAUCCUCUACUACCAGCAUCCUAGGGGGUUACCAUCGACAGAAACUUGAUCUGGUCUAGCCAUAUAAACACCAUGGCUACCAGAGCAGGUCAAGAAAUCCGCAGUGUGUAGUUCACCUCCUGUCUCCCCAAAGCAUGUCCACACCAGGUUAGGAGUGUAAUGGAAUACUCGCCACUUGCCUGGAUGGCUCCAUUAACACUCAAGAAGCUUGAUACCAUCCAGUAGAAGGCAGCCCCCUUGAUUGGUACUCCUUCCACAAGCAUCCGAUCCCUCCACCAUUGAUGAACAGUCGCAGCAGUGUGUACUAACUACAAGAUGCACUGCAACAACACACCAAAGUUCCUAAGGAAGCACCUUCCAGACCCACGACCACUACCAUCUAGAAGGAUGAGAACAGCAGAUACCUGGGAACACCACCACUCGGAAAUCCCUCUCCAAGUCACUCACCAUCCUGACUUCGAAAUACGAUGCCAUUCCAUCAAAAUCAUGGAAUUCCUUCCCUAACAGCACUGUGGGUGUACCUGCACCCCAGGGACUGCAGCAUGUCAAGAAGGCAGCUCAUCAACACCCUCUCAAGGGCAACUAGGGAUGGGCAAUAAAUGGUGACUUAGUUGGUGACACCUACAUCCUGUAAAUUAAUUACAAAAAAGAUGGAAUAUGCCAAGAAACUUGGCAUUCAGCACAAGACCAAUAAGCUUCUGUAGAAAUAACUCUUCAAGACCUGGUAUGACUUUGAAAGCAGGCAAACAUAACAUUGCCACAAUAACCACUGGAGGCAAGGAGCUGAAUAUCGAACCAGCUCGAUACGAUUCCAUAACUUCAUUCCUGCACAAUAAGUUAAAGCAUGAAAAGUUAAAAAGAAUUGCUUAAAAUGAAAAAUCAAGCGUCUAGUUAUUAGUAAUGUGAUUAUAUAGUUUUUUAAUUAGCCAUCACUGUCACCACUGAUGUUAAAAUUCUGCAGCUUAUUUUUCUUUAUUUUAAAAUGGUUUGUUAGGACUUGCAUUUACAACCGAACUGCAGUUAUGGACUACAUUGCAGUUAUGCAGGUAUACAACUGCAGCUAUGGCUACAAUCCCAUUGCUACAUUGAUGUUAUAUUAAAGGAGAAAAACAAGAAGCACUGAGAAAUGAUAAUAGUAAAUCAUACCUGCAGAUGUGUCUUCUGAGAAUUUUAACUACUCAGUUUCUGCAGAAUGAGCGGGUUUUUAAUAAUCUAGUGAUAUUCUGCUUUUAUACAGUUAAUUUUGUCAUAAAUUCAUAGACUCCUGACUGAAACAGGUCAAUCUGAAAGGCAUUAAGGGACUUCACAUAAUUUCAAAAUUGUAUAUAUGUUUGAGUGUUUAUACACCUUGCAAAAAUCCUAAGGGUACUUUAGUUGGGUUUGGAGCAGGAUGGAAUAUAAGGGAGCGGCUAAGAUGAGCAGCAAGAACAAAAAGAUCAGCUGUACGAGAUAAAUCAAGUUAUCUAGAAGUCAGAAUUCAUCCAGGAAGCAUGCCUCUCUGGUUGACAAACAGUGUAAACCAGAUCAUUCAAAUUCCUUGGCUGCCCUAUCAUUUUCCCUUCUUUUGCAAUUCUUUUUCACCUGAUGGCUUCUCUAAAAAAAAGUCUUAUAUGUAUGUUGGACCUCAAGAUAAAGAGUACUUAAAACAUAUUCAAAGCAAAGAAAGAUGAUUGCACUAAAGUUAUGGAGAUCAGGAUGGAAAGUGGAUUUGAAGCCAAAAAAAAAAUCCCCUUGUGCAUUUACUUAUGUUUAACUCAUUUUGUAGUUUCUACAACCUGGGAAGAAUUGGCAUAGUAAUGAAAAAUUCUCUAUUGUAAUGACCAACUGGAGUGUGACUCCAAAUGUUACCAUGAUUAUGCCUAUCACUUUCUCCAUAAUCUUUUCCUCCAACUUUGGGCUCUAGAAUCCAAAUCUCACCUUUACUAGUUGUAUCUCUGGCCAGCAAGGCUUCUGGCAUUCCCUCCUUAAACCUUGCUAUCUUCAACUCUUCUUUUUUAAUUGCCACAAAAAUCUUAGUAUUUUUGAUUAAUACUGUUGCCAUCUGCCAAUACAUCCCUCUAUGGCUUGGCAUUUUUUUUCAAUGGUUGGUAACUUCUCUAUAAAGUGCCUUGGGAUGUCUAUCCUAUGGUUGAGGUGUUACAUGGUCAUACAUUACUGCACAAUGUUGUUUCUUAGGAACUAAAAUUGGAGCAUAUUGCAAGGACUUGACAGUGGGCUAAUACAGCUGGGUGAAAGCACUAUGACAAAUGUAUGCUCACCAUGGAUUUCAGUUCUCCACACAAAUCUUCAACUUGUUAACUCACUCGAGCUAAUCAGUUAUCUGUUUCUCUCCUACAAGCUGAAUACAUUACUGAUAUUUUGCCUGCAGUGUAAGAUGAAACAGCACCCUCUUACAUUGAUAACUUCCCUAUUGGCCCCAAUGAAUUUUCAUUCACAGGAGUGCCUCUGGUAUAUUUUUUGUGUUAUCAGUCCCACAGUGCAUGAAGUAACUAGCAUUGCACAAAAUGGGGACAAUGCCUUUGUGUCGUUCAGCAAAAUAACUCACCAAUAGUGAUAAACUUGGCCACAAACUAUAAAAGGAUGCAAAAGAAUAUCUGCAGCAGUGGAUGAAUAUAACAUGUUUCUUAUUCCUUAUCUUAGAUUUCAGAGAUUGAAAUUACUUGAUUUGUGAGCUCAAAUGAUGUUCUAAUCCAAGGUGUAGACUUUAUGAAAAUAUCUCUAUCCUCAACGUAUCAAAUUCUAUCAAAAAUUUGUAAUAUGACCCUGCUUUGAUAUUCCAAGGCACAGCUAAUGAGGGCAAGCAUCCCAUAUGCCUUUUUCACUAUAUUAUCUACCUAUACUAUAUUAAAGGAUCAUUGGAAUUGCACACCAAGGUUUGUGUUCCUCAAUAUUUCUAUCCUUACUAAUUUUCCCAAAAUACAUUACCUCACACUUUCAAUAUCAAAUUCCAUCUGCUGUUGCUCUGUUAUAUCCACUGAUUAAUCGAUAUAACUUGGUAGCCUGUAGUACAUCACUGGUUACAAGCUUUUCACAGAAACAAUCCUCCACCAUCAAUCUUAGUCUAUUAAUUAUCAAACUAAUUUUUGGAUGUAAUUUGUCACUUGUCUUAAAUUACAAGGGUCCUAAACUUUUGGUCAUCAACCUUUAGGAAAUCCUGCAUAAAGACUCCCAAGUUCUUUGCGCCUCUGCUUUUCCUCCCCAUUUAGAAAACAGUCUACAUCUUUAUUCCUUCCACUAAAAUUUAUGACCAUACACUUCCCUACAAUAUAUUCCAUCAGCUACUUCAUUGCCCAUUCUCCCAGUCUGUUCAAGUCCUUCUGCAGACUCUCUUCUUCCUCAACACUACCAGCCCCUCCACCCAUCUUUGUAUUAUCCACAAACUUGGCCACAAAGCCAUCAAUUCCAUCAUUCAAAUCACUGACGUAUAACAUGAAAAGAAGCAGUCGCAACACUGACUCCUGCAGAACACUAGUCACUAGCAGCCAACCAGAAAAGGCUUCCUCUAUUCUCACUCUUUGCCUCCUGUCAGCCAAUCUUCUAUUCAUGUAUUUAACUUCAGUGUAAAACCACAGGUACUUAUCUUGUUAAGCAGCCUCAUGUGUGGCACCUUGUCAAAGGCCUUCUGAAAAUCCUAGUAGACAACUACUGACUCUCCUCCGUCUAUCCUGCCAGUUAUUGCCUCAAUAUUCAAUUGAUUGGUCAGGCAAGAUUUUCCCUUAAUGAAACCAUGCUAACUUUAGCCUAUUUUAUCAUGUGCCUCCAAGUUCCCCUAAAGCUCAUCCUUUAUAAUGGACGCCAACAUCCUUCCACCCACUAAACGCAGGUUAAUUGGCCUAUAAUUUCCUUUCUUCUGCCUCCUUAUUUUCUUAAAAGAGUGGAGUGAUAUUUUUACUUUUCUGUGAUCUGGUGAUGCUUGAAAGGUCAUUGCUAAUGCCUCCAUAAUCUCUUCUGCUCUUUCAGAACCCUAUGGUGUAGUUUAUCUGGUCCAGGUAACCUAUCUACCUUCAGACCUUUCAUCGUCACAAUGCCCUUUUCCUUUCUAAUGGCAACUACACUCACUUCCGCCCCGACAUUCUUACAUUUCUGGCAUACUACUAGUGUCUUCCAGUGAAGAUUGAUGCAAAACACUUAAGUUCAUCUGCCAUUUCUUUGUCCCCAUUACGACCUCUCCAGUAAUUUCCCAGUAGUCCAAUAUCCAUUCUCAACUUUUUACUCUUUAUAUAUCUGAAAAAACUUUUUUGCAUUCUCUUUUAUAUUAUUGGAUAACUUACCUUCAGAUUUCAUCUUUUCUCUCCUUAUGACUUUUUUAGUUGCCUUCUGGUUUUUUAAAUGCUUCUCAAUCCUCUACCUUUCCACUAAUUUUUGCUAUGUUAUAUGCCCUCUUUUUUACUUUUAUGAUAUUGUUGAUUUGCACUAAGCUCAUCAGUACAUUCUGCAGCCUUUGGAAAAACAAACAAAUUUGCUGGACUGGAUCUCCCCUUAACAAAGAUAUUGAUGAUCUUCAAUUAAUUUCUGGCUUUUGUGUUCCAUUCUAACAACUUCUACAGGAGCACCAUCGAGAGCAUUGUGUUCUGUCUAGUUGCAUCAUUGUGUGAUAUGGAAACUUUAAGGCAUUGGACCACAAGAUAGUAAAAACCUCAGAGGAUCUUGGAGAUCUUCCUCCCCCCACAUGUGACAUUUACCAGGAGUGUUGUACAUGAAGUGUCCAUAGCAUUGCUGAGGAUCCCUACUACCCAUCACACAAUCUCUAUGACCCACUACCAUCAGAAAGGAGGUACAGGAUUAGAAUUACCAGUCUCAGUAACAGCUUCUUCCCUCAAACUGUGAGAUUAAUGAAUACCAUACUACUACUAGAACAGCGAGCUGUGAUCGAGUUAUCUGUGCUGUGCAUUGCAUGCACUUGUAAUUAUUAAGUACUUGUGGCAAUAUUUUGUUUUAUGUGCUGUCUAUGAUAUGAGUUUAGUGGACGUGCACCAUGGUCCAGGAUAAUGUCUUGAUUGGUUGUAUACAUGUAGUCAGAUGACAACGAACUUGAACUUUUCCCACCACUGACAUUAGAUUCACCCUAUCACUGAUGUUAAACUCAGGUCUAUAGUUAGUUGGCUUGUAUCUAUUGCCCACCAGAAUAAAGAUAACACAUUUGCUGUCUUCUAGUCAUCCAGCAUGUCGCCCGUGAUUUAAUAAAAUCCUUUAAGCCAUUGAUAAUAAUUCUGUAAACUAUAACAACAUUGCUAGAAAAAUAUCAGCUCACUUGUGCACAGAAAUAGCAAUGGUGAGAGGUAGAUAAAGAAAGAAACUUAUAGAAACAAAUCACAAUACUUUCUAGAAUAGGAAUAUGAGCAGAAGCAGAAUUACUUCCUUUCCUGUACAAAAUAAGCAGGAAGGUGUUCAAAGUAUGACUUAUUCCUUUUAAUUUACAGAAAACAUCAGAACAUAACUGACAGCUAUCAUUGUGUGGAUUGUCUACCAAAACUACACAGGUACUGUUAGUAAACUAAUGCAGACUUGUAUUGAUAUUCACAUUAAAAAAAGUGUACCAACAUAACAUUAGAUCAAAUCAUUAAAAUAUACUUAUAGUAAUCUGGCUUUCUUCACUUAAUAUGGCAAUAUGGAGCAGUCCACAAUUCAUCUCAAAGAAGAAACUCCAUCCAGCCAAGUAUGAUUAUGGAAGCACCAUUUUAAUAUUGUCAGUGGAAUGUUCAAAGAAAGGACAUGCAUCAAUGUUCAGUUUGUAUCCUAGUUAAAAUACCUUGCUCCAGAUAUUCACCUUGGAAGCAAUUUCCUGUUCUCAAGAUUAUGCACCAUUUCUUGAGAAUAAUGGAAGGAUACUGAAGUCAUAGAAACAUUGCAACUAAGAAGAAAUCAGAUGUUUCAAAUCUGCUCCACCUUUUAAUGAAAUUAUGGUUAUUCUGAAUGAAACUUGAACUUUGCAACAAUCAACAGAAAAUCUUCAAACACUGGAACCAAAGUGAAACAGGAAAAAGUCAGUGAUGAGCCAUAUCUGCUGAAAACCUGCUGACUAAGGCAGUGCUUUGUUUUUAAGAGUACUAUUCUGUAAGAUUUUUAAAGUCUCAAUUGGUUGCUACUUAUGAUAGUACUUUAAAGUAGUAUUUCAAUGUAGUAUUUACAUUGAAUUUUGAAAAUAUUGAUUUUUUUUUAUUAGAUUCUAUGUGAAACUUAAACUGUGGGAUCUUAAAUGUACCAGCUAUUGAGAGAAACCUGCCCACUGAGAAAACUGACUGAAUCUGAUAAAGCAAACAAGCCUUUUAAAUAAACUUUAAUAAGAUGCACUUGACUCCUGUUCAGAUAUUCCUUUUUAUAUUCAGCUUAUUAACUUAUUACAUAUAUAAAUGUUUAUUUCACCACAAUAUGCCAUUGGUAGUUUGUAUAAAAGUAGUUAUUAAUUAACCACAGUGCUACUGAUUCUCUUCAUCAUUGUCUUCUGUUAUUUGAGGCAAGAAAGGAUCUACUUUAAACAACAUAGAUUCACUGGUUGCACUGCAAAUAAUUGCUCUUUCAACAAAUGGACC